CAUUAAUAAACCUAGUCGUUCGCGUACAUAGGGGCAACCCUCGCGUGAUGUCAGCAAUACCUAGGUAACCCUUGAAUAAACUACCCUCGUUGCUUUGGCGGGCCGCCUCCCAGGCCAGCGGCUCCGGCUGCUGCGCGCCCGCCAGAGGACCACAACUCUUGUUUUUAGUGAUGUCUGAGUACUAUAUAAUAGUUAAAACUUUCAACAACGGAUCUCUUGGUUCUGGCAUCGAUGAAGAACGCAGCGAAAUGCGAUAAGUAAUGUGAAUUGCAGAAUUCAGUGAAUCAUCGAAUCUUUGAACGCACAUUGCGCCCUUUGGUAUUCCGAAGGGCAUGCCUGUUCGAGCGUCAUUAUAACCACUCAAGCUUUCGCUUGGUAUUGGGGUUUCGCGAUCUCGCGGCCUCUAAAAUCAGUGGCGGUGCCUAUCGGCUCUACGCGUAGUAAUACUCCUCGCGUCUGGGUCCGGUGGGUUGCUUGCCAAAACCCCCUAAUUUUUACAGGUUGACCUCGGAUCAGGUAGGGAUACCCGCUGAACUUAAGCAUA
rnacentral:rRNA from 1 species